GACGAACGCUGGCGGCGUGCUUAACACAUGCAAGUCGAGCGGAAAGGCCCUUUCGGGGGUACUCGAGCGGCGAACGGGUGAGUAACACGUGAGUAAUCUGCCCUUGGCUUUGGGAUAGCUUCGGGAAACCGAAAUUAAUACCGGAUAUGACCACUUUUCGCAUGAGAUGGUGGUGGAAAGUUUUUCGGCCAGGGAUGUGCUCGCGGCCUAUCAGCUUGUUGGUGGGGUAAUGGCCUACCAAGGCUUCGACGGGUAGCCGGCCUGAGAGGGUGACCGGCCACACUGGGACUGAGACACGGCCCAGACUCCUACGGGAGGCAGCAGUGGGGAAUAGUGGACAAUGGGCGGGAGCCUGAUCCAGCAACGCCGCGUGAGGGAUGACGGCCUUCGGGUUGUAAACCUCUUUCACCACCGACGAAGCGCGAGUGACGGUAGGUGGGGAAGAAGCACCGGCCAACUACGUGCCAGCCGCCGCAGUAAGAC
rnacentral:rRNA from 1 species